rnacentral:rRNA from 1 species
GGCAGCAGUGGGGAAUCUUGCACAAUGGGCGAAAGCCUGAUGCAGCAACGCCGCGUGCGGGAAGAAGGCCCUAGGGUUGUAAACCGCUUUCAGUAGGGAAGAAAAUGACGGCACCUACAGAAGAAGGUGCGGCCAACUACGUGCCAGCAGCCGCGGUGACACGUAGGCACCAAGCGUUAUCCGGAUUUAUUGGGCGUAAAGAGCUCGUAGGCGGUUUGGUAAGUCGGGUGUGAAAACUCUGGGCUCAACCCAGAGAGGCCACCCGAUACUGCUACGACUAGAGUACGGUAGGGGAGCGGGGAAUUCAUGGUGUAGCGGUGAAAUGCGCAGAUAUCAUGAGGAACACCAGCGGCGAAGGCGCCGCUCUGGGCCGUAACUGACGCUGAGGAGCGAAAGCAUGGGUAGCAAACAGGAUUAGAUACCCUGGUAGUCCAUGCCGUAAACGUUGGGCACUAGGUGUGGGUCUCAACCAACGAGAUCCGCGCCGUCGCUAACGCAUUAAG